rnacentral:rRNA from 1 species
AGUGAACGCUGGCGGUAAGCCUAACACAUGCAAGUCGAACGGCAGCACAGUAAGAGCUUGCUCUUACGGGUGGCGAGUGGCGGACGGGUGAGGAAUUCAUCGGAAUCUACUUUUUCGUGGGGGAUAACGUAGGGAAACUUACGCUAAUACCGCAUACGACCUACGGGUGAAAGCAGGGGAUCUUCGGACCUUGCGCGAUUGAAUGAGCCGAUGUCGGAUUAGCUAGUUGGCGGGGUAAAGGCCCACCAAGGCGACGAUCCGUAGCUGGUCUGAGAGGAUGAUCAGCCACACUGGAACUGAGACACGGUCCAGACUCCUACGGGAGGCAGCAGUGGGGAAUAUUGGACAAUGGGCGCAAGCCUGAUCCAGCCAUACCGCGUGGGUGAAGAAGGCCUUCGGGUUGUAAAGCCCUUUUGUUGGGAAAGAAAAGCAGCAGGUUAAUACCCCGCUGUUCUGACGGUACCCAAAGAAUAAGCACCGGCUAACUUCGUG